CAAGUGCACGUUGGUGGCUUUCAUCCAACACCCCUGUGAACCUUUGGCCUCUAGUUGGCUUCGGCUGGCAGAGGAUUUACAUACAAACUCGAAUGUAAUGAAAGUCCUUGUUGUGCAUGAGCACUAAUGUAACAACUUUCAACAACGGAUCUCUUGGCUCUCGCAUCGAUGAAGAACGCAGCGAAAUGCGAUAAGUAAUGUGAAUUGCAGAAUUCAGUGAACCAUCGAAUCUUUGAACGCACCUUGCACCCUUUGGCAUUCCGAAGGGUAUGCUCGUUUGAGUGUCAUUGUACUCUCGCACUCUCCAAUUCGGAUUCGGGUUGGGGAGCGGUGGACUUGGGUGUUGCUGCUUUACUGUGGCUCACCUCAAAUGUGUUAGUGCAACUCCUGGUUGGACAUAGUACGGCGUGAUAAGUAUCUUCGCCGGCACCUCAGAAGAGGGUGGUAAUCGGGGGCUCUGUGCUUCAACUGUCUUUGGACAAUCUCUGACACUUGACCUCAAUCGAGUAGACUACCCGCUGACUUAACAUAUCA
rnacentral:rRNA from 1 species